rnacentral:rRNA from 1 species
UACGUAGGUGACAAGCGUUAUUCGGAAUUACUGGGCGUAAAGCGCACGCAGGCGGCGCGGUAAGUCUGGUGUGAAAUUUCGGAGCUUAACUCCGAAACUGCAUUCGAUACUGCGGUGCUCGAGGACUGGAGAGGAGACUGGAAUUCAUGGUGUAGCAGUGAAAUGCGUAGAGAUCAUGAGGAAGACCAGUGGCGAAGGCGGGUCUCUGGACAGUUCCUGACACUGAGGCACGAAGGCCAGGGGAGCAAACGGG